CGAGACCAACAUGGCCAGAACUGUCUA
rnacentral:piRNA from 1 species